GGUGAGAUGUCCGAGUGGAUUAAGGAGCGCGCCUGGAAAGCGUGUGUACACGAUAAUCCGUGUAUCAAGGGUUCGAAUCCCUUUCUCACCA
rnacentral:tRNA from 1 species